CGCCAGACUCCUACGGGAGGCAGCAGUGGGGAAUAUUGCACAAUGGGGGAAACCCUGAUGCAGCGACGCCGCGUGAGCGAUGAAGUAUUUCGGUAUGUAAAGCUCUAUCAGCAGGGAAGAAGAUGACGGUACCUGACUAAGAAGCCCCGGCUAACUACGUGCCAGCAGCCGCGGUAAUACGUAGGGGGCAAGCGUUAUCCGGAUUUACUGGGUGUAAAGGGAGCGUAGACGGCGAUGCAAGCCAGAUGUGAAAGCCCGGGGCUCAACCCCGGGACUGCAUUUGGAACUGUGUGGCUGGAGUGUCGGAGAGGCAGGCGGAAUUCCUAGUGUAGCGGUGAAAUGCGUAGAUAUUAGGAGGAACACCAGUGGCGAAGGCGGCCUGCUGGACGAUGACUGACGUUGAGGCUCGAAAGCGUGGGGAGCAAACAGGAUUAGAUACCCUAGUA
rnacentral:rRNA from 1 species